CCUCAUUGAGACUUAGCAUGAAUAGAAUUAAAGCUCACGACUUUAAGGAAACAGAAAGUCACAUGCUCAUACCUUAGCUAUAUUCCUUUUUGUCUCCAAACCAGAACAUAAAGUUUAAUAGUAACAGAAUUUCAUGGCAAGAGACGAGUACUUAACAUUUUUUUUAA